rnacentral:rRNA from 1 species
CCUACGGGGGGCAGCAGUGGGGAAUCUUCCGCAAUGGGCGAAAGCCUGACGGAGCAACGCCGCGUGAUCGAAUGAAGGCCUACGGGUUGUAAAGAUCUGUUGACAGGGACGAAUAAACGAUGCGAAUAGUUUUGUGUAUGACGGUACCUGUUUAGAAAGCUCCGACUAACUACGUGCCAGCAGCCGCAGUAAGACGGAGGGAGCAAGCGUUGUCCGGAAUUGCUGGGCGUAAAGGGCGCGUAGGUGGGCGAUUAAGUCAGGUGUGAAAACGUCGGGCGCAACCUGGAGCAUGCACUUGAAACUGGGUGUCUUGAGGGCAGGAGAGGAAAGUGGAAUUCGUAGUGUAGCGGUGAAAUGCGUAGAUAUUAGGAGGAACACCAGUGGCGAAGGCGACUUUCUGGACUGUAACUGACGCUGAGGCGCGAAAGCGUGGGUAGCGAACGGGAUUAGAUACCCUGGUAGUC